rnacentral:lncRNA from 1 species
CUGAGGCGGAGAUGAACGGUGCCUUCUGACGUCAUCGGAACAUUGCCACCGGUUGAAACACCAGCGUUUGUUUACGUUAGGCGGCGCCUCACUUGCCUCACCCCCAAAACCGCCACUGUUAAAAAACGAAUUUAAGAAAAUCAUUACUUUACGCAACUAAUUUAAAUUUUAUUAUAUUUGAGUGGGCAAGGUAUGGAUUUUAGAGGUCACAUCGAAAAAGAAAAUUUCUUGAAUCAAGGUAACUUUAAAGAAGUAUGCAAAUUACUUGAACAUUUUUGUAGUACAAACUAUUCUAAAUGGUUUAUACAAAAUCAACUCUUAAGUAUUUGUGUUGAUUAUGUCAGACACAACAUUAUUUUGGAUGUACAAACAAAUGGUUUUUUUGCAUUAAUGUGUGAUGAAGCUAGGACUAGAAAUUCGUGAACGGUUCUUGGGAUUUUUGGAGGUAUCUAAAAAGCAUGAUGCUGAUUAUCUGAUUACUGAAAUUUGAAAUUUUUACAAAACUCUGAAUUAAGUCCCUUAAAUAUAAUUACUCGAUCACAUGAUGGCGUGGCUGUUAUGUCAGGUCAUUUAGGAGGCGUACAAGCAAAAAUUAAGGAAAAAUACCCCACAGCGAUUUUUACUCAUUGUAUGGCACAUCAAUUGAACUUGGUUGUGGUUGACAUGUGCAAUUAUAUGACGAGUGCAAGGAGUUUAUUUAAUGUUUUAGAAUCAAUACAUAUCUAUUUUUAAUUUCCUUCGAAAAAUGUUAAGCUACAAGACAUACAAAUUUAAUUGGGGUUAAAAAAUAGAUCUAUGACUCAUUUAUCUGACACACGUUGGGUUUGCAGAUAUAAAAAUUGUGAUGUGGUUUUAAAUAAUUUUAAAGCAAUUCUACAAGUAGAUAUUAAAUGAAGAAAUUGAAGCCAAUUAUGAUAGAAAUGUCAGUUAAGCUAUUGGUAUUUAUUCAACCAUAACUAAAGGAUUGUUUGUCGUGCACUUGUUUAUUUUUCAUGAUGUAUUAAUUGUAAUUAAUAUACUAAGCAAUAAAUUACAACAAAAAACUGCAACUCUAGGAAAAGCAGCAGGAAUUAUUAAAACUGUGAUUGAGACUUUUGAAAAAAAUAUAAAAAUUAUAAUUUAUUUUUGGUAAUAUGGAGAAAAAUAAAAGAGUUUGCUGAAAAUCAAUAACAUUUCUUUAGAAAAACCUUUGAAAAAUUCUAAAAGAAUAAGAAAAGAACCACAUAGUUUGAAAGAAUUUUGUCUAAAUACAUCAACAUCUGCUGAUAGUAUAAAUCUUGAGGAUUCUGUUGAAAAUUAUUGGAAAAAUAAAAUAUAUUUUGUCAUA